rnacentral:rRNA from 1 species
UACGGAGGGGACUAGCGUUGUUCGGAAUUACUGGGCGUAAAGCGCACGUAGGCGGAUUUGUAAGUCAGGGGUGAAAUCCCGGGGCUCAACCUCGGAACUGCCUUUGAUACUGCAAAUCUCGAGUCCGGAAGAGGUGAGUGGAAUUCCUAGUGUAGAGGUGAAAUUCGUAGAUAUUAGGAAGAACACCAGUGGCGAAGGCGGCUCACUGGUCCGGUACUAACGCUGAGGUGCGAAAGCGUGGGGAGCAAACAGG